ACUACGGGAGGCAGCAGUGGGGAAUAUUGGACAAUGGGCGAAAGCCUGAUCCAGCAAUGCCGCGUGAGUGAUGAAGGCCUUAGGGUUGUAAAGCUCUUUCGGCGGGGAAGAUGAUGACGGUACCCGCAGAAGAAGCCCCGGCUAACUUCGUGCCAGCAGCCGCGGUAAUACGAAGGGGGCUAGCGUUGUUCGGAAUUACUGGGCGUAAAGGGCGCGUAGGCGGCGCAUUAAGUCAGGUGUGAAAGCCCUGGGCUCAACCCAGGAAUUGCACUUGAUCCUGAUGUGCUUGAAUCCGGAAGAGGAUGACGGAAUUCCCAGUGUAGAGGUGAAAUUCAUUGAUAUUGGGAAGAACACCAGUGGCGAAGGCGGUCAUCUGGUCCGGUAUUGACGCUGAGGCGCGAAAGCGUGGGGAGCAAACAGGAUUAGAUACCCUAGUAGUC
rnacentral:rRNA from 1 species